rnacentral:piRNA from 1 species
UGGUGACAAUUGUGUUUGAAUGAU